AUGAACGACGUGCUCCGCGACAUGCUGGAUGAGUUUGUGGUUGUGUACCUCGACGACAUCUUGGUCUUCUCCAGGACUCUCGAGGAGCAUGUCCAGCAAGAGGAGGUUCACCAGCGCCCCAGUUCCACUCCACCCCGACCCAGGAAGACAGUUCAUUGUGGAGGUGGACGCCUCGGACACUGGGCUGGGGGCCGUCCUUUCCCAACGGGCAGUGGGGGAUCAGAAGGUGCACCCCUGUGCGUUCUUCUCCCGACGUUUUCUCCCCGCGGAGGUGAACUACGACAUCGGGAGUUGCUGGCAGUGGUAGCUGCUCUGGAGGAGUGGCGCCAUUGGCUGGAGGGGGCGGAGCAGCCAUUUACCAUCUGGACAGAUCACAAGAACCUGAAAUUCAUCCAGGCGGCUAGGUGUCUCAAUGGGCGACAGGCUCGUUGGGCCGGCUUCCUCAGUCGGUUUGAUUUUUCCUAUCGUCCCGAUUCCCGCAACAUUAAGGCGGAUGCCAUGUCCCGACUUGAUCAAGGGAGGAGAAUGGCCACCGAGGAGUCAGCAACCAUCAUUCCCGGAGCCCGGAUGAUCGGCAUGGUGGCCUGGGGCAUCAAGACUGUCGUGAGGGGGCGCUGCGCUCCCACCCUGCUCCGAGUGGCGUGCCUCCACGGAGGCUUUUCGUCCCGGAAUCGGUCAGGUCCCGAGUACCUCAGUACUGCCAUCCCGGGGGUCCACCGCACCUUCACCUUCCUGGCUCGACGUUUCUGGUGGCCUACGAUGAGGAACGAGGUGAGGGACUUUGUAUUGGCCUGCCUCGUGUGUGCCCGCAGCAAGGCCUCUCACCGGGCACCCGCCGGGCUACUGCAACCCCUUCCUGUUCCUAGCAGCCCCUGGUCCCACGUGGCCUUGGACUUUGUGUCUGGACUACCGCCCUCCCAGGGUAGGACGGUGAUAUUAACCGUAGUAGAUCGGCUCAGUAAGGGGGUACACCUGGUGGCCCUCCCCAAACUCCCUUUGGUGUCAGAGACGGCGGACCUCCUGAUGAGCCAUGUGUUCCGGCUCCAUGGUCUUCCCCAGGAUGUGGUCUCGAACCACUUCUCAGUUCAUAUCCCAAGUAUGGCGAGCAUUCUUCAAGGGCUUGGGUGCCUCUGUCAGUCUCUCUUCUGGUUAUCACCCACAGACUAA
ensembl:lncRNA